CCUACGGGUGGCAGCAGUGGGGAAUAUUGGUCAAUGGGCGCAAGCCUGACCCAGCAACGCCGCGUGAAGGAAGAAGGCUUUCUGGUUUUAAACUUCUUUUUAGAGGGAGGUGCAGAAGACGGUACCUCUUGAAUAAGCCACGUCUAACUACGUGCCAGCAGCCGCGGUAAUACGUAGGUUGCAAGCGUUAUCCGGGUUUACUGGGUGUAAAGGGCGUGCAGCCGGGAAGACAAGUCAGAUGUGAAAUCCCGCGGCUCAACCGCGGAACUGCAUUUGAAACUGUUUUUCUUGAGUACAGGAGAGGUCAUCGGAAUUCCUUGUGUAGCGGUGAAAUGCGUAGAGAUAAGGAAGAACACCAGUGGCGAAGGCAGAUGACUGGACGGCAACUGACGGUGAGGCGCGAAAGCGUGGGGAGCAAACAGGAUUAGAUACCCCUGUAGUC
rnacentral:rRNA from 1 species